rnacentral:lncRNA from 1 species
AGAUGGACUCGACUAGUUGGCCAUAAAGUAAGAAUCCAGUAAGUUCCAGUAUGAUACGAUAAGCAUUGUCAAUGAUGAAUAUUCUACAGAAGUCAAGAUGGAGAUAAAUACAGUGGGCUGUGUCAAUAUCAAUCCAAGAUCUUCCAUUGGAGGUCAACUAGAGAUUCAUAAAACAAAAAUCGAGAUCCCUUCACUGGAUCAAUAACCAUGUAACAUGUAGAGAGAGUGGAGAGAGAAAGAAAGAAGAGAGAGAAAGGAGGAGAGAGAGAGAAUAAGGAGAUAAGAGAGGCAUGGAGUCUCUCUCUUCCACACAUCCAAGGAAAGAAGAAGGUUGCUCAACGAUGGCCAUGGUCGGAUGGGUGGUGGCCCAUGGUAAUGCCCAGCAGCAACUGCGGUGAUUAUCGGUUGGAAGGAAAGAAAGAAGAACAAAAACAAAAGAUAAACUGGAGAUUGUGGUGACCGUGUUUGGAUUAGGCCUCAAACUAGCAGCUAAGCUCUAAUGUGCCCUCUUAAUACAUCAAUAUAUAAGUUCCGAUGGUGGGCAACAUUGGCGGCGGCGGCGGUAAGCAAGGAAAAGAGCUGAAACAGGGCACCCCUGUUUCAAAAAAAAAAAAAAUCGAUGAUAAUUUGAGCAACAACAGUAAUCUCAAGAGUGGGGAAGGUGAGGAAAAAGGAAGACUUAAUGAUGGUGGUCCAAUGCCUUCGUCUCCAGCGAGAAAUCAAAGCUGGAUCAACGAAAAACCCAACAGCCUUAGACGGAAAACAACAAACUUAGGAUCACGGCUCUAAUCGAGGCUAGACGGUGGAACACCAUGAGAUACUAAGGAAGAGAGGAGAGAAGGGCUCUUUUUAUGGCCAAAAAUGAGAGAUGCAGAUGGAAAUUUGGCACCACGAGGC